GUCGGUUAUGGGGACGUCUGUCCAGUAACAAAAUUAGGCAAAGUCAUAGGUGCGGUAUGCGCUAUUUGCGGAGUGGUAAUUGUUGCACUCCCCGUGUCUGUGAUCGGAAGCAAU
rfam:Nematostella vectensis strain CH2 x CH6 NEMVEscaffold_9_Cont1898, whole genome shotgun sequence.